rnacentral:rRNA from 1 species
GGGUAGUUUGACUGGGGCGGUCGCCUCCUAAAGCGUAACGGAGGCGCGCGAAGGUUGGCUCAGAGCGGUCGGAAAUCGCUCGUUGAGUGCAAUGGCAGAAGCCAGCCUGACUGCAAGACUGACAAGUCGAGCAGAGUCGAAAGACGGCCAUAGUGAUCCGGUGGUCCCAAGUGGAAGGGCCAUCGCUCAACGGAUAAAAGGUACGCCGGGGAUAACAGGCUGAUACUGCCCAAGAGUCCAUAUCGACGGCAGUGUUUGGCACCUCGAUGUCGGCUCAUCUCAUCCUGGGGCUGGAGCAGGUCCCAAGGGUACGGCUGUUCGCCGUUUAAAGAGGUACGUGAGCUGGGUUUAGAACGUCGUGAGACAGUUCGGUCCCUAUCUUCCGUGGGUGUAGGAUAUUUGAGAAGAGUUGCCCCUAGUACGAGAGGACCGGGGUGAACGAUCCACUGGUGGAUCUGUUGUCGUGCCAACGGCAGUGCAGAGUAGCUAUGAUCGGACAGGAUAACCGCUGAAGGCAUCUAAGCGGGAAGCCCCCCUCAAAACAAGGUAUCCCUGAGGGCCGUGGUAGACCACCACGUCGAUAGGCCGGAGAUGUAAGCGCAGUAAUGCGUUCAGUUGAC